AUUGAACGCUGGCGGCAUGCCUUACACAUGCAAGUCGAACGGCAGCACGGGAGCAAUCCUGGUGGCGAGUGGCGAACGGGUGAGUAAUAUAUCGGAACGUGCCCAGUCGUGGGGAUAACGUAGCGAAAGCUACGCUAAUACCGCAUACGAUCUAUGGAUGAAAGCGGGGGAUCGCAAGACCUCGCGCGAUUGGAGCGGCCGAUAUCAGAUUAGGUAGUUGGUGAGGUAAAGGCUCACCAAGCCGACGAUCUGUAGCUGGUCUGAGAGGACGACCAGCCACACUGGGACUGAGACACGGCCCAGACUCCUACGGGAGGCAGCAGUGGGGAAUUUUGGACAAUGGCGCAAGCCUGAUCCAGCAAUGCCGCGUGCAGGAUGAAAGGCCUUCGGUUGUAAC
rnacentral:rRNA from 1 species